rnacentral:rRNA from 1 species
CGUCUAUAUACGUAUAGCAUAUCAAUAAGCGGAGGAAAAGAAACUAACAAGGAUUCCCUUAGUAACGGCGAGUGAAGCGGGAAGAGCUCAAAUUUGAAAUCUUCAAGGUUCUACCUUGACGAAUUGUAGCUUAAAGAAGUGUUUUCUGUUAGAGGAGUAGCAAAAGUUCCUUGGAAUGGGACAUCAUAGAGGGUGAGAAUCCCGUAUUUGGUUACUUUUUCUAGCUUUGUGAUACACUUUCAAAGAGUCGGAUUGUUUGGGAAUGCAGUCCAAAAUGGGUGGUAAAUUUCAUCUAAAGCUAAAUAUUGGCGAGAGACCGAUAGCGAACAAGUACCGUGAGGGAAAGAUGAAAAGAACUUUGAAAAGAGAGUUAAACAGUACGUGAAAUUGUCAAAAGGGAAGCGUUUGACACCAGUGUUGUUUUUCCGAAAAUCAAUUAAGAGUGGCUUGAUUUUGUGUUGUAUUGACCUUAUCAGCUUUCUUCACUCUUUUUCGAGUCUUUCUUAAUGCACUUUUCGGUUAACAAGUCAACAUCAAUUUCUUUUGUUGUAAAAGGGUAUUUGGAAGGUGGCUUUCUUUUCGGAGAAAGUGUUUAUAGCCUUAUACCUCUACAAUCGGAGAGAUUGAGGUCUGCAGCGUAGAUCCUUCGGGGCUAGAUACACUUGUGCUAAGUUAUAGCUUUUCAUAGACAACUUGUUGACUAUGUUUAGUCAUGUAGCUUACCCGCUUGUGCUAUUUUACCUACGCUUAGGAUGUUGAGUCAUCACACAUCUCU